GAUGAACGCUGGCGGCGUGCCUAAUACAUGCAAGUAGAACGCUGAAGGAAGGAGCUUGCUCUUUCCGGAUGAGUUGCGAACGGGUGAGUAACGCGUAGGUAACCUGCCUGGUAGCGGGGGAUAACUUUUGGAAACGAUAGCUAAUACCGCAUAACAGUAGAUGUUGCAUGAUAUCUACUUAAAAGGUGCAAUUGCACCACUACCAGAUGGACCUGCGUUGUAUUAGCUAGUUGGUGAGGUAACGGCUCACCAAGGCGACGAUACAUAGCCGACCUGAGAGGGUGAUCGGCCACACUGGGACUGAGACACGGCCCAGACUCCUACGGGAGGCAGCAGUAGGGAAUCUUCGGCAAUGGACGGAAGUCUGACCGAGCAACGCCGCGUGAGUGAAGAAGGUUUUCGGAUCGUAAAGCUCUGUUGUAAGAGAAGAACGAGUGUGAGAGUGGAAAGUUCACACUGUGACGGUAUCUUACCAGAAAGGGACGGCUAACUACGUG
rnacentral:rRNA from 1 species